UUAGAGUUUGAUUAUGGCUCAGAUUGAACGCUGGCGGAAUGCUUUACACAUGCAAGUCGAACGGCAGCAUAGAGAGCUUGCUCUCUGAUGGCGAGUGGCGAACGGGUGAGUAACAUAUCGGAACGUGCCUAGUAAUGGGGAACAACUAAUCGAAAGAUUAGCUAAUACCGCAUACGACCUACGGGUGAAAGCAGGGGAUCUUCGGACCUUGCGUUAUUAGAGCGGCCGAUAUCUGAUUAGGUAGUUGGUAGGGUAAAGGCCUACCAAGCCAACGAUCAGUAGCUGGUCUGAGAGGACGAUCAGCCACACUGGAACUGAGACACGGUCCAGACUCCUACGGGAGGCAGCAGUGGGGAAUUUUGGACAAUGGGGGCAACCCUGAUCCAGCCAUUCCGCGUGAGUGAAGAAGGCC
rnacentral:rRNA from 1 species